rnacentral:rRNA from 1 species
GACAGAGGGUGCAAACGUUGUUCGGAAUUACUGGGCGUAAAGCGCGUGUAGGCUGCUCAGACAGUCGGAUGUGAAAGCCCUGGGCUUAACCUAGGAAGUGCAUUCGAAACUUCUGAGCUUGAGUUCUGGAGAGGAAGGCGGAAUUCUCGGUGUAGAGGUGAAAUUCGUAGAUAUCGAGAGGAACACCGGUGGCGAAGGCGGGUUGCUGGGCUGACACUGACGCUGAAGCGCGAAAGCUAGGGGAGCGAACGGG